rnacentral:lncRNA from 1 species
AGUAUGAUAAGGUCCCCAGGUGUCCACAUGAAUCAGUUGAAAAGGUCUAGAAGUCUUAAUGGAACUAUCAGGAAAAGGAAGUCUAGUCUGUCUGGCCAUGGAACAGACUGUACAGGGAAAGGGUUGUUUGGAAGCAAAAGGAAAAGAAAGACCAGAAAUGCAUUUCAUAUUUGCAAAUGGAGAAUGGGCAAGUCUUAAGUGCCAAAUGUAGUUCAUAUCAGAUGCAAAAUCAUUAUUACAGAUGGAACUAUUUACAUGUGAAGGCAAAGAAACANNNN